GAUGAAGAACGCAGCGAAAUGCGAUACGUAAUGUGAAUUGCAGAAUUCAGUGAAUCAUCGAGUCUUUGAACGCACAUUGCGCCCCCUGGUAUUCCGGGGGGCAUGCCUGUCCGAGCGUCAUUGCUGCCCUCAAGCCCGGCUUGUGUGUUGGGUCUCGUCCCCCUUCCCGGGGGGACGGGCCCGAAAGGCAGCGGCGGCACCGCGUCCGGUCCUCGAGCGUAUGGGGCUUUGUCACCCGCUCUGUAGGCCCGGCCGGCGCUUGCCGAUCAACCAAAACCUUUUUCCAGGUUGACCUCGGAUCAGGUAGGGAUACCCGCUGAACUUAAGCAUAUCAAUAAGCGGAGGA
rnacentral:misc_RNA from 1 species